rnacentral:lncRNA from 1 species
GGUGGCGUUUUAGCGGGAGAUCCGAGCGUCUCGGCUGGUGGAAGGGGCGAGGAGCUUUGCAGUUGUGUGCGAGUGUGUACAGGGACAGAGUCCUGAGCAAGGAAACCUAGAAGGGAGAGAGGAAUACCAUGGAAUUGAGUCCUGUCUGGUAGCACUGACAGACACAGUGGCCAGCCACCCUCAUGCCACCCUGUCCUGCCAUGGGAAGGAACAGCAGCUCUAGAGUUCCUAUGGUGAGAAAGUCAGAUAUCAUUUCUCAACUCAAAAUAACAAGUUCCAAAAGAGAGCUCUGGUUAUUUCCCAGCUCUAAAUGCUUCAAUGGCUCCCACUGCCUUCCAAAUAAAGUGAAAGUUCCCUCCAUAUCAGUCAUUUCGGGCCUCACUGUCCAGUCAAGAUCACCACAGAACCUCUGUUUCUCAACUGUAAAGCAGAAAUAAUGACAAUACCUAUACAGUAGUCCCCACUUAUCUGAGGUUUUGUUUUCUGCAGUUUCAGUUACCCAUGGUCAAUUGGGGGUCAAAAAUAUUUAAUGGAAAAUUCCAGAAAUAAAUAAUUCAUAUGUUAUAAAUUGUGUGCCAUUCUGGUGAUGAAAUCUCACACUUUCCUGCUCUGUCCCACCUGGGACAUGAAUCAUCCCUUUGUCCAGUGUAUCCACUCUGUAUACACUACCCCUUAGUCACUUAUUAGCUGUCUUGGUCAUCAGAUCAACUAUCACGGUAUCACAGUGCUUGUGUUCAUGUAGACCUUAUUUUACUUAAUAAUGCCCCCAAAGCACAUGAGUAGUGAUGCUAACCUACUGUUAUAAUUGUUCCAUUUUAUAACUAGUUGUUAAUAUCGUACUGUGCCUAAUUAAUAAACUUCGUCACAGAUAUGUAUGUAGAGGAAAAGACAUAGUAUAUAUAGGGUUUGAUAAUAUCCACACUUUCAAGUGUGUUAGAAUGUAUGCCCCUCAGAUAAGGGGAGUAUACUAUACCUCUAAGGGCUCUUGUGAGAAUUAAACAUUACAUAUGUAAGGCACACAGUAGGUAUUUUUUUGGUAAAUGGCAGCUCUUAUGAUUAAGCCUUUCCUACAUAUUUUUCACUCGUUGAUCUAAAAGACAACCACCCCUUUCCCUCCAGGAGCCUUAACCUUGAUGGCCUUCCUUGCCUAUAUAUUCUCUUUUCUCGGUAAACCCUUCAUUAAUCUGUUUUUUCUUUCUGGUACCCUAGGGAACUCUCUUUCCUUCUCACUGAACUCUAGCUUCAUCAAUAACUCAGUGCCUCUGGCCAAGUUUUUAGCCUCUGGGACAACAUCCACUAUAUCCAUAUGAGGCACUCAUGUAACACGGUGAUUAAGAGUACAGAUGCUGAAGCCAGCAGCCUAAGUCUGAAUCCUGACUGCCAAUUAUUAAUAUAAGUUGUGGAACCAUGGUCAAGUUACUCAACCUCUUUAUGCCUCUGUCUCCUGGUCUACGAAAUGAAGCUUUGAAUCUGCUGUUAUUAAGUUGCUGGUGCUGAAAUAACACUUAUUAUUUAUGAUCUAACUGAAAUGGGAACACUGGAAACUUCUUUGAAACUGAAGAAAAAAAUGAAAAAGAAGUUUUUACAAUCAAAACUGCCAUGAAGACUGCUUUACCCAAAAUUUUGGUCCACAGCUUUCAUUGAAUUACUUAUCAGGGCAAACAAAGUUUAGCCAUGUGAACACGUUCCAAUUUUGUUGGAAAUAAUUUGGAUCCAGCUAUCUUUAUACAAUGGUGAGUUCGUAUUGCAUCUCAUGGCUAAAAUACUGAGGUAAAGGCUUUUGGAUCUUUGUGUGUGUGUGUGUGCAUGUGACAAAAACAAGCAAUGGGGAAAGGAGUCCCUAUUUAAUAAAUGGUGUUGGGAGAACUGGCUAGCCAUAUGCAGAAAGUUGAAACUGGAGCCCCUCCUUAUACCAUAUACAAAAAUCAACUCAAGAUGAAUUAAAGACUUAAAUGUAAAAACCCAAACUAUAAAAACCCUAGAAGAAAAUCUAGGCAAUACCAUUCAGGACAUGGGCACAGGCAAAUAUUUCAUGACAAAGAUGCCAAAAGCAGUAGCAACAAAAGCAAAAAUUGACAAAUGGAAUCUAAUUAAACUAAAGAGCUUCUGUACAGCAAAGAAAUUAUCAUCAGAGUGAACAGACAGCUUACAGCAUGGGAGAAAAUUUUUGCAGUAUAUCCAUCUGACAAAGGUCUAAUAU